rnacentral:piRNA from 1 species
UGAUUUGGUGUUGGUUCGUGUUCACCUCC